AAGUUGAGAAGUAAAUGCAAAAACGCCAAAGGGUUAAGAUUAGUGCUAGAUGAAUCGAGAAAAGUAUGGUGGAGACAUGGACAUCUCAAGCUCCUCUAGCCCCGAUGGACGAUGGCCCAACAAGCCAACAAGCACCGCCGAAUCGCCAAACUGACAAAAGCUCGAUAGUGUCGUAAAACAAAACCAUCACUUGUCGAUUUGCAUAGAAACUCUUAUAUUGAAGCACAACGCUAACAGAUCGACAAAAAGCAAAACUAAACAACGUUAUACAUGAAUCAAUUGAAAAAGAAAGGGAGAUCCA
rnacentral:misc_RNA from 1 species